UUGUACAAGUGCGUACUGAGUGCCGGUACCAGUUUCUUGUGAUCUCUACGCGUCUUCACNACAAAAUCGUAUUACUUAGUGUAAAGCAGAAAGAAAACGUUAAAAGUUUUGUGUUGCCUCAUCUUUUAUUUCUGUCUGGAUUUUCUUUGCAUAGAAUAAAGAAACAGUGAAAAGAUUACUCUCUUCUCGAUAGAGAUAAAAAGUGUAAAUGAAAAUCGAAAAG